rnacentral:rRNA from 1 species
CUUGGUCAUUUAGAGGAAGUAAAAGUUGUAACAAGGUUUCCGUAGGUGAACCUGCGGAAGGAUCAUUAACAAAUCCAAUAAUUGCGGGAGAACGUGUUGUUCCUUUUGCAAAUAUUAAUCCGCUGGCUGCUCUUAGUAGCAGCUUGGCUGUGAUAUAAAUGCGUGAUAUGUUGACAGUGUGUGUAUAAUUAAAUAUUGUCAACUUUUAACAAUGGAUCUUCUAGGCUCUUGCAACGAUGAAGAACGCAGCAAAGUGCGAAAAGUGGUGCGAUUUGCACGAAUCUGUGAGUCAUCUAAUCUUUGAACGCGAAUGGCACUGCUAUGUAAGUAGCAGUAUGUCUGUUUUGAGAUCGCAAAACUCGAUCUUCUCUAGUUAAAGAGUGGGAUUGACCUCAUAUGCUCUCUAGCGUAUUUGGUUUGAAUGCAUUAAGUUGAUGAGCUUCCCAACAUUGCUCAAUGUGUGCUAGCGAGACAGUCGUCCCGAUCUCACAUUACAGUUUUGUUGCAAAGUUCUAUGUACAGCUUUUUAUUUAUUUUAUCAAGUACGAUCUCAAAUCAGGCAAGAUUACCCGCUGAACUUAAGCAUAUCAAUAAGCGGAGGA